GGAAGAUCAAUUGCUUCACCUUCUUUUAUUUCCUUGUUUGUUCAAGUUCUCCAGACUUCUCAGAUAAUGCCCUUUCCAGUUCUCUUCAUCUUCUCAAUCGGGCGUGAGUAGAAGAGCUUAGAGCAUAACUUGGAGUUCUUCGCCGACAACAAUGGUGCUCUUUUUCCAUGUAUUUGCUGCUCUUUAAAUGUUCAACCUCUAGGAACAUAUUUUAUGAUAUGUACAGAGGUAAUAUUCUUUUUAGAGGAUUCUUUAUUUUAGUAUACCUGCUUCUUGAAUGUCUUUGAGGUUGUUUUACUUGAAAUUUCUCAAUAUUAUAAUCAUAUAUUUGGCAUAGUGCUCUAAUUCGAGGAAUUUGGAAUAGUAUUGAUUCUAUAUUUCAGAUCAAUUCUUACGGAUAAAUUAACACGAGUAGAUUGUGCUUAGAUGGAAUUUUACAGUAAUGCAAAUUACCUUUUUUCUUUGCCUUUCGCCGUCUGUUCAGGGAAUGCUUGUGCAUUGCUCCCUUUUUUUGUUUCUUCUGCUUUAGUGAUAAAAAACAUCCAGAAGCUUAUUGGAUUUCUAUUCCAAUUUUCUUUUUACUGGAUUGUUGUAAAAAGAAGUUCCUUUUUACUAAAUUCUGGUGGAUCAUCUUUAUAGUGAAGAUGAAGACCCUCCUACUACUUUCUUAAUAUUUCUCCAAACUCAUUUAGAAGUACACGGUUUAUUAAUAUAAUUAGAUCAUUGAUCAUUGUUCCACGGAAGAAUUACACUGAUAUAGUGGCUUUCAAUUAUGAAAAAAGAUAUAGGAACCCAAGAGCUUAAUUCUCAGAAGAUAGAAUAUUAAUAUGUGCUUCCGGUUAUGUUGGUUUGUGUUGCAUUUUAGGCAUGUGUGUGACAUCUGUUGGUGGUGAACUUAACACAACAUUGUCCCUUUCCGGGGAACAUGCUUCACAAAUAUUUAGUGAGUUGCUUCUCCAUUUCUUUUUCAGUUAGAUCAUGUGGUUAAUAGCGAACAAUCUUAGUUGAAGAUUAGAAUCUUUGUUUGCUACGAAGAUAGGUAUACAUAGAAAAGCUAAGAUGGUCGACUAAGGGCAUAUUGAACUUUUCUAAUCUUUACUUUAGUUAGUAUGCGGUGUCUUUUACGGGGUUCCGUCUUUUACCCUAAGCAGAAUUGCCACGUACCCCUCCUCUAUUUUGCUUUCUUUGUGGCUCUAAAAUCUUCUAGAGCUUUUCCAUUCAUCGUCUUCCACUUUGCCUGGGUUUUAGCAUCUCUGUGCUUCUUUUUCCCCCUCCAGUUAGAGUAGGACGCUAUGGAGAUACACAUUUUUUUAUCCUUUAAUACACGCUUUUCCCUCUAUGGCAAUAUAGUUGCUCCUGGGACUGGGCUAUUGUUGCAGUUCUUUGCCGCUACCCUCGCUUAGAGAUUUAUGGUGUUCUACCACUUCUGAUUGGUUCACAAUUACCUUGGUGGAACUUGUUCAGGGCUCUGAUUGAAGCCAGUAUUUUCAUUAUGUUUCUUCUUGACUCUUGAGUUUGAAAGUUGUAGAGAGAGGAGAUAUAUCAUAAAGAUCAUGUCAGUUUGCAAUACAUACAUGUCGAGUCAAGGGUGCAGGCAUAAGUUGUAGUUAUACAUGGUGAAACAGAAAAUGUUAGCACUUUCCUACCCACAAGCCGCAUUAGCAGAAAGAGAAGGGAGUUAAUUUCAGCAGGUAUAAACGUAGAAGGGGAAAAAGUGGACUCUGGAAGUUUAUAGAGUGAAACAUAUUGCCUUGGCUACAUACAAUUGCACAAGAGGUGAUUGAAGGCGAUAUUUUCUUUAAUUAAGUUCAUGGCUAACACACCCAUGUUGAGUGAUUUUUCAAGAUACCAUAAGAUCGAAGGUGACUUUUUCACAAUUUGGAGAUAUCAGCCGAUGUACAUAUUUGCCAUCGUGGGGUUUUUAUGUCUAAUCUUGUCUUUGUUCU